UAAGUCAAUCUUUUCCCAAACUUAACUUGUUAUACACAACAAUGCCAUGCAACUCAGAAGCUAGGAACAUCGAAAGGAUGAAAGCUUGUAUUACACUAGAACACUUUACAAAGCUUGUAACCUCUCAAAUGCAUGGUAUCUUGACUAAAUGAGGUUGUUUUCUAUUUAUACACUCGAUAAACUCUCCGAAAUCCGAAAGUUUUUUCUAUUAAUUUAGAAUUCCUUACACAAAUUCUAUAUCCAAGUUAUGUCCAAGAGAUUGUAUAUUUCACUAGAAAUUUCUACAUUCUCCAUCUUCUUCCAUUUAUUUGUGAAGAUGCGUGAAUGUCUUCAAAUUUCUCUAAAAUUCUCUACACUUUUCCUUUAAUAGAAUUAGGGACAUACAAAUGACUCCAAAUCUUUUAGAAGCAUUUGUUCCUUAUAAAGGUUCAAGUAAGGGAUUAUUUGAAUAGAUAGUGUGAGAUUGUACUAAAGAAACCAUUUCUAUUCGAAGGAGGAAAAGAUGGAGGGAAGAGUUAGGAAGAAAAAAAAAGAACAUAACCUUGGUCUACAUUGACAUAAUCAAAAGUGAAAGGAGUACCACAAAGGGAUUAUUUAACUUUCUAAGUUCUAUUGAAUAACAUGCUUCUUUUAAAAUAAAUGGAGCAUUAAGAAUUAUUAAGAAUUAUGUUUAUUCAGGCUUAAAAAUUGUUGUAAAGGAUUACACUUUAUAUAAUUAGUGUGGAAAGUUACAAGAAGUUAUAAAAUUGUUAUGAAGGAUAUAAGCCUUAGUUUAUUAGUAAUAAAUGCCCAAAAUACCCUUAAAGCAUUUUCUUUAGAAAAUGUUCAAUUAAGUACUCAUGUAUUUUUUUAAAAAGGACAAUUAAGUACCCAUGAUAAUUAAUAUAUUAAAUUUAAAAAAAAAUUAAAAUAACAAAUAAAAUAUUUUUUUCAAAAUUUAUUUAACAUUAAUAUAGUUUUUAUUUUUUUAAAGUUGCAACUAUUAUCUUAAUUUAAUCUUAUUAAUUUAAUAUUUGAUUAUUAUUAUUUGUUAUAUUUAAAUUUUGUAUUUUUUUUAAAUGUGAUUAAAUAAAAAUUUAUAUUGAUUAAUUUUUCAUUAAUUUAACUUGCUUAUAAUUAUUUUUAUUUUUUAUUUUUAAAAUUUAAAUUAAUAAGAAUUGUAUAAGACAUGUUUAUAUCAAUUUACUUUUCAUUAAUUUCACGUUCACUUAUUAUUAUUUUUUAUUUAGAAAAUUUAAAAUUUUUUGUUUUUGAAACUUAAUCAAAUAAAAAAUGUAUAAAACAUGUUUAUAUUAAUUAUUUUUCAUUAAUUUAAUGUUUAAUUAUUAUUAUUUUUUAUUUUGAAUUUUUUAUUUUUAUAAAAUUUAAUUAAACAACACCUAUAUAACACAUGUUUAUGUUAAUUUAUUUUUCAUUAAUUUAAUACAUGAAUAUUAUUAUUAUUAUUUAUUUUAAAUUUAUAUUAAAUUUAAUUAAAUAACAACUCUAUAAAACAUGUUUAUCUUAAUUUAUUUUUCAUUAACGUAAUGAUUGAUUAUUAUUGUCAUUGUUUAUUAUUUAUUUUUGAAAUUUAAUUAAAUAACAAUUUUAUAAUGCACGUACUAAUUUAUAAAUCAUGAAUUUAUGUAUAUAUUUUGUUUCAUUUUCUUUGUUUGUUUUCCAUACCAAAUUACUAAAAACUUUAUUCACAUACAUGCAUAAAUAUUGAAUAUAAUUUUUUUUUUUUCUAUAUUAACACAUAUACAAGACAUUUUCACAUUUUUAAUAAUUUUCAUAAAAACACAAAUAUAUUCAUGAUAAACACACUUCUAUAAGUCUAGUACAACUAGUACAAAUACUUGUACAAUUAAUACAAGUGUCUUGUAUAUAUGUGAAAAUAUAUAUAUAUAAUUAUAUUUGAUAUUUAUACGUGUAAAUAAAGUUUCCAAUAAUAUGAAUAAUAAAUAAAAAACAAUAAAUAAAAAAACAUUUAAAUAUAUUCUUGGUAGACUUGACUGGUAAAAGCCUUGCACGCCUAAUAUAACUUUUUUUUUUAUAGGUACACCUAAUAUAAAUGUUGUCUCGUAUGUUUAACACAAGUGUCUCGUGCUUGUGCGAAAAUGUAAAAAAAAUAAAUUAUAUUUGACAUUUAUUUAUGUUUAAACAAUAUUUCCAUCGGUUUGAUAUAAAAAACAAAUUAUAAAAAUCAAGAAAAACAUGUAAAUAGAGAUUAGUGCAUAUUUCAAUAUAUUUUCUAUUUUUUUAUUUUUAAAAUUUUGAAUUAGUUAGUCAUAUUUCAAUAUAUAUAUACAUUUUUUUUUCUUUUCAAAAAUAAAAAUAAAGAGCCUUGUAAAAAAUUAUAAAACUUCUAACUUUCAACAAAAUUUUAAAAUUUUGAAAAAGAGCUUUAAGAACACAAAUAAAUUUCUAUUUUUUAAAAAAGAAAAUACGACAUUUUAUAUUGAAGUUUUUAGUUCUUAAAAUAAAAAAUAUCUAAUAUUUCUAUUUUUAAAAUUAAAUAUAGUAAUAAUUACUAUAUAAGAUACAAAAAUUCUUAAAAUUAUAUUUGAUUUCCAAAAAAACUGAGUAAAAAAUAAAUAAAAUAAAGAAAAAUAAAAAAUAGAUUUUAAAAUAUAUUUUGAUAUAUUACUUUAAAUUCAUUUAACUAUUCAAUAUAAAAAUUAAAUAAUUUUAAAAUAUAUAAAUUUUAAUUAAAUUUAAUUUUCUUUAAUAUUUUUUAGAAUUAUGAAAAAAUCAUUUUCUUUUAACUUUUUUUCUUUUCUUAAUAAAUUUCGAAAACCAAGAUUUAAAUUGAAAAAAUAUAAUAGAUACAAAUUUAUUUUAAAAAAUUAUUCUUGAAAGUGAUUUUUAAUGACAUAAAAUGAAUCCAUACUUUUUUAUACAAAAUAUUCUACUUUUAUUUUUAAAAUAAAACCAAAAAAAUUGUAUUGGCCAUAUAAUUAUUCUAUUUUUAUUUUUAAUUUAAAGAGUUUUUCAAAAAUUAGAAAUUUUAUUUCCAUUUCAAAAAUAAAAAGUACAAAUAUAUCAUUUGAAAUUAACUUUUCAAAUAAAGAUAGCUCCAUUUUUUAAUAAAGCAACAGAUCAUGGUAUGAAAUGAUUUGUGUCGGAAACCGUUUCCAAGACUCACUUUUAACAUGUUAAGAAGAGCGAGAAGCAUUAUCGUUUUUCAUACCUUCGUAUCCAAAAAUUUUAGGAUUCAAUCACUUUCAAAACCAAGCACUUUCGUGAAGGCUUGAGGGACCAGGACUUCAUAUAUAUAUAUAUAUAUAUAUAAGCACACGUUACCAGUACUUUUUUGCCGGUGAAACCUCCUUGUUCUUCUGCACCCUCCUCUUUUAUUUUAUUUGUAUUUAUUUUUAUUUUAAAGCAUUCAGAUACGCAGAAGGGAAAACAUACCUUCUUCACCAGCUUUAGCAAUCUCUGGGGAAAGAUGCCUGUGGGCACAGCAUAAAGCAUCCAAGCCCUAUUGUUUGGUAGCUUCCAGACUUCAAAAGCUAGAAAAUGAAGAGGGGUCAGUUAAGUGGAAAACUAAUAAAAAAUUAAUAUCAAUCACUUGAUACGGUCCAAAAGCCCAUCACUCUACUAGAUCUGUAUCAACAAAACCAACACAGAAUUCAUAUUAGGAGCUGAAUAAGUCUGUAUCCAAAAUUUUGUGCAAAUCCUAAAAAUAUUUAUAUACCCAUCACUUCUAAACUGAUUAAAGAUGAUUAAACAGACUCUGCACAUCCUAAUAAUAUAUCCAUCACUUCUAAACUGAUUAAAAACCAAUUAAACAGACUACAAGUAAUCAAACAAAUUGGUACAGAAAACCUAACUGGAAAAGAGACAAUACCAGAUGGGUCACCUAUGGUCGAGAUGUGACUUUUAUAUACACUGUUACCUCCUCAGAAGACAUGCCUGUUGCUUGUUUUAGUGGACUCUUUUCCGCUUAUGACGAGGAUGCUCGUCUCUGUGGUCGUGGUCUGAGCCAAUGGCCAUCUGCCACCUGUCAUGUUCAUUAUCGUUGUUCAUGGACUUUGCAUUGUGCCUAUCAUGUCCCAACCCGUGCCUGGAGUCUCUCUCUUUUACCUGCUUUAUUUGUUGGGUGGCCAAACCUUGCUCUGAACCAGAUUGUGAAUGACUGUAAUGUUUCUCACUCUGUUUUUUUAUGUUUCUUUCAUCAUCUUUUUGGUGUUUGGUAUGAUGGCGGCUGCGACUAGAAUCGUUGCUGCACUGCCCUCUUUGGUCAUUGUGUUUUUUUGAGCUUUCAUGAUGGUUUUUAUGCCUAUCUUCGCUAUGCCAGCUGGAGCUAUAAGGCAUGUCAUCUAUUUCUAAGCUUGAUCUCUCUGUGUGAUAUGGCUUCCUAUCUCUUCCAACAAUGGGACGAGAACUCUUCUCAUGUCUUUCAUCACCAUAGUGGAUGUCAUCAUCAAAGCGUUUGUCAUGGCGAUUUUUUCUCUUUAACCUUUGAGUAGAGCUGUCUUCAGAGUCGCUUAUACUCUUUUCCCUUUCUAUAUGUGGUUUAUGCCCAUGUGACCUUUCUGCAUCAUUGUACCGAUACCACUUAUUCAGAUCCUCAUCUUCAUCUCUGUCAAGCAGAUAUUUUUAUUAGAUAUCUGGAGUAAUAGUAUAUUAAGGAUUAAGGAACACAAUCAUUUUUCUAGAGAUGUCAAAACAACCAAAUAUGAGAAAAAAAAUUUAUACACCAAAAUUAAAUCUUUGGAAAUUGUUUUUGGUUGAAGAAACUGAGUCUAAAACAGCACGCCAUGAAGCACAGUCACAGGCAUCAUCACCCAAUUUCAUAUUUUUAGGCUCUAGGAAAAUAUUAAUGGAAAAACCCUUGAUUGAUUAAUGGCUACAAAGUAAAUGGCAUUGAUUCAUAACAACUUGAACGUAGUUGAAGCAUCAGUGGGAUNNNNNNNNNNNNNNNNNNNNNNNNNNNNNNNNNNNNNNNNNNNNNNNNNNNNNNNNNNNNNNNNNNNNNNNNNNNNNNNNNNNNNNNNNNNNNNNNNNNNGUAGUUGAAGCAUCAGUGGGAUGGCAUGAGGUACUUAGCAUGUGUACAAAAAAUAAAAACAAAAAGCACAAACCAAGGUACCAAAAUUAUCGAGUAAAUGCCUUCCAUGCACAUAAGUUACCUCGUCAUAUUGCGAUUUAAAAGUUUCUGUUUCUUUCUACAAUCGUGAAGCUCUGAAAACUCUGGAUGGCUUAAGGGCCGUUCAGCACUGGUCCCUACUGGUGGUGCCAAACCUCCCAUCCCCAUAUAUCCACUGCAAGUUAAUAAAACCCCAUGUAUAAGAAAACUAUUUGGACACAAUCCAUAACAAACAGCAUCUAAUAAAUAAGAAAACAAACUUACCCAUUAACAGGCAGACCACAAUACAUAGAUGGAACAUAUGCAGGAACGGCAAAAGGUGUAACCGGAACCAUGGUAGCAUUGAAGGCCAUCAUCCCUGGGUUUCCAUACAUAUUCACAGAGGACCUGCCGUACGGUGAUGGAGUCCCAUUCCAGUAAGGUGAUAAACCGGGCAUAACUCCAGGGAACAUGGCACCUGCCAAAUCACAAGAUUAGGUAUUGUGAACAGAGCCUUCCAAAGCAUAUCCACUCAUAUCAAAUGCAAAUGAGGAUUAUAAUCUUUACCUGUUUGAAGCAUAGCAUUUUGACUGAGAGCAGUGGGGCAGUCUCUCAUUAAAUGAUCUGGAGAACCACAAGUGUAACAGGCCCUGUCCCCCUGAAUUUUCAACGAACUAACUUAGAAUAGCUAGAAGAAAAAAAUUCCCUUCCAAAAAUUUCUUAAAAUUAUUUUCAUUUUUGGUUUUGCCAUGUUUGACAUGACCACUAAUUGAAGCAAGAAAGUUACUUGAUAAAACAAUUUUUCAAGUUUGUGUCACUACAGGUAUGAUAUAUGACAUGCAGGAGAUAAACCUGAAAAAUUAGGCAUCAUGAAUUGUAUGGUGCUGAACAACCAUUUAGGUGCAAAAUAAAAAAUAAAUAAAUAAAUAAAAAGAAAAACUUAGAUUUGAAUUAGACUGGGGAAAUUUGACAUAAUCAGCAACAAGAAAUUUUCAAUGAUAAUACCAGGAAUAAGGAAAACAUAUGUAGUCUCAGGAUUCAGUCCCAAAAAUCCGGGUGCUUAUCACAAUCCUUGGAAAAGUUCUCAUGUAGACAUGUUCGAUAUCUUCUAUUGGUCAAGUCCAUAAAAGAAAUUUUAAAAGACAAUAAGGUGUUCUCCCCACAUGCCUGUGCACAUCCUCAGAAUGCCAGCAAGGCUAAUAUAAUAAAAUGCAUGCUUACAAAUGUCUUAAGUAGUUGAACACCAUAUACUCUCUAAUGAUAAUUAUUGUAUUAACAUAAACUGUAACAGUAAAUUUAUUAGAAAUAUGAAAACAGACUUGGUCAAAAUGUUUACCUUUUUGUUUCUACCAUUAUUAGGAAUAACACUCUGGCCUCCACCUGGAAAAUCCAUCAGCGUUAUUAAAAUGGAAAGGAGAUACAGAGAGAGAUGAUCCCUAGAAGAGGUUUCAGCUGAAGUAAUAUAAAACUGAAAGAUGUAGAUUGCACCUGAUGCAUUAACCCACAAUUCCUUCUUCUUCUUCAGAGUGGAAUCAGCUGGAGUGACAUAAGAAACAACAGAAACAUUAAGGUCAGAAAAUAAAAAUGAUGUCUACAAUUAACUAAAGUGAGGCAGACCUUGGAACUAUAGUUCCAUGAGAAAGGAGUGCCCUGAAUCAUGCCUACAAUUAACAGCUAGACCUCUUUAAUGCAAUCCGAUACAGCCAGAGAAGAGAACCUCAAUAAAAGAUUACAGGCAGAGAGAAGUUGCUCAAUACCUUCCUCAGGCACACGACUUUUACACAAAUUUGUAGGUAUGUUUUCCCCUUGGAAAUCAUCGUUCUCACCAACUAUUUGCUUGAUCUUUUGUGACAAAGGAGCUGACUUCAAAGAUUUACCAGCAGCUGAAUCAAAUCUAUGAGAACCACCAAUACCCAUGGAUGCAUUAUUUCUAGAUGUUGAAUCAUAGGCAGAUUCCGUCAUAAUAUAAUUGGACCCCUUCCCUGUGGCAGAGGGAGAAUGAGGCAAGUCCAAAUCUUUUUGAAGAAUAGUCCCAGCAAAAGAAAAAUCAUUUGCUUGAAUUCCAGAUUCUCCAUCUGCAUUUGGGUAAUUCAAUUAGUCAAGCAUCAUGAAGAGUUUCCUUUUUUUUUUUUUUUUGGACAAUCAAGCACUGAUUUAUUCUCUCACCUGGGGCAUAUCUAUGAAAGGCAUCAUCAGAACCACUCAGCAGAAUUUGAGACUCAAGAAAAUGGUCUAUUGCUUGCCUAAGGGACAAAUUUGGCAGCAGAUCUUCUACUCUGCAUUUUGUAGAAGAGCACUUGGGACAUUGUGCCUUCUCAACCAGCACUAGAUGAAUGCCUGCAACAGAACUCAACCAGUAAGAUAUGACAAUGUUAGACACAAAUGGGAAACAUACAGCAGUAACUGCAAUUUGUGAAAAUUUUGUGAAGAUGAAUUAACUGUAGAAUUUUGUGACCAUAGUGACACAUCAAUUAUGGAACACAUUAAUGCAAGGUUCUAUUAAACCAUAGAGAAGCAUAUCAAGGCGGCAUGGUAAUCUAAGGUCCCAAGAAACUAUAUGUAGAGACAUGAUGGUAAAACCUUAUAUUAAGGCCAGCAUCGAUUAAGCAAUGAGGCAGCCUAAUAUCCUAGGAGACCAUACAUCAAGGAAGAAUAUCUCGAGGCAACACCAUAUUUAAGGCCCUAUCAAACAUAAACUGAGAUAACAUAGUAGUGUAUGGUCCUAGGAAAUCAAGUAUUAAGAAAAUAUAUGUGGGUGUGUCACUAAAAAGUAUCACAAAGCAAUGUGGUAGUUUAAGGUCAUAACACACCAUCUACGAAGGCAACAAUUAGCUGACUCAAUGUGGAAAUGCCAAAUUUCACAAAAUCUUAUAACAAGCAAGCACAUAUCAAGGCACCAGACCAUGAAUAUUGAGGGAACAUGGUGGUGAGAUUCUUCCAGAUCAUAUACAAUCGAGGGGAACUACAUAUCAUGUUCAAUAUUGUUAAAUAAAAUUGUAUUUAUGGGUGUAUCCUGUAGUUAUUGUGAUACCUCUAUCUAUUUUAAGCAACCAAAACAUGUACCUAAUGUAUCAGUGCAGAAUACAGCUAACUAUUGCUUUAAAAACUUACAUUUCUCACAAAAGCUAUGCUGGCAGCAUGGUAUCAUCACAGCCUUCUUGAAAUAUGUGUUGCAAAGAGAGCAUUUCAUCUCUGAUGGUAAAUCAACAUUCUGAAUGGCUUGAGGAUUGGCAUGAGCCACUCUUUAAAUUUACAUUGUAACACAAAAAUAACAUGUGUGAGAUUAAUGACUAUAAAUAGAAUGAAAGAAACAAACAAGAAGAAACUUACUUUUCUAACUUUGUCUGUUCUUCAACUUUAGGUUUUGAUUUUGUCUGAGGAGCAUUCCCUUGAACUUUGUGAGUAGAACCUGACACCAAAAGCAGAGCAUUGGAAGAUUAGAACUAUGCACCAGAAUGAUUAGUCAAAAACCACACAUCCAAUCAGCAACAUUACAUACCUCUUGGACUAGCCUCACUAAGGUCACUUGAUUCAAGCUUUUGACAUACUAUCACAGGUGGCUUUGAGCAUCUAAGUCAAUACCAAGUAUAUUAUUAAUGUGUGCAGAAAGAUUUCAACAAAGAAAGAAGAAAAUCAAAGAUGCACUAAACUAAAAAUCCAACAGAAAUUUGUGGUGUUUGUGCUAUGAUAAUCAGAUUCCAAGAUACAUAUAUAUAUUUCAGAUUUGGAAAAUUCGGAAACAAAGAUAAUGAGGUUUAGCAUUUUCCUCAUCAAAAUAUUAAAUCAUGUCAACCACAUUUAGACUAAAUAAUAUCAUGUCUGAUGAAAUGUGCAUCAUAUGAAUACAAAAUGCCUAAUGAGCUUCUUAAGGGCACACUAUUAUCUCAGCAACUGCAUGUAGGUGUGGUAUAGUUCAUAUUGGAUGUAGAUCUCAAUUAAUAAUGUCAAAAUAACGAGAAUUCAUGACAGUUAGAAGUGUCCAAUGUGUGUCUUACAAAGGAACAACACUUGCUUAAAAUGUCCAUGUUGCAAGAUCAGAUAUCUCAAAAAGAUAAGUCCAACUGAUAUUUCCACUAACAAAUCCUCAACACCAAUUGCAACUGAGCACCCAAAGAGAUCAAAAUGCUGAGAAAACAACUAUACCUUGGUACUGUACUUGGUUUGAUCUCACUACCACUGCAAUUCAUCUUAUCAAUAUCAAGAUCAGAGUCACAAAAGGAUGGCUGAGGAACGGGACAUAAGUCAAUCCCAAAGUCAUCAAAGUCAUCAAUCUCCACAAUCUGUAAAAUAAGAAGGGUGACAUCAAGGAGGAAAAUGAUAGAAAGAUUAGGAUAAACAACAGAGUGCAAAAGUGAAUCACCAUUUUACCCAUGACUCAACAGACUUAACAAAAAUAAAAAGCAAAGGACAUAGAUAAGGCGUUUCACAGGAGUGCAAGAGGCCUCAACAUAGAAUUAUAGAACUAGUAGUGUUCUAAUUUGAAAGAACUAGGGGCAGUGUAGAGCUAUGUUAUAACAUCCCAAACUACUUCUCCUAGUGCCAGAAUUGCACUAAAGCCUUUUAUCUCCAGCAAAAAUCACUCAUUUAUUUAAGAUCACAUGACAAAAAAGAGGUUUUUUAACAUACUUUAGGAACAAGAUUGGCGUCCUUGCUCCCAACAUGCUUAAUUGAAUCAAUGCAAGCCCUGCACCAAAGUAACAUUAUAUAAGAGAAAUCACAAAAAGAAAAAACACUAGCUUAUACCAUAAAAAUAACCACCCAGACAAACAAGCCUUAGAUCUAUGGGAUAAGGCUUGUUCAGGUGGGGUUCGUUAGGCUAGUUUUCAAUUCCUUGACACAGAGCAGCAAUUGCACCAUUGCACUAGUGACUGAAAAUGAAAAGUCUUAACCAUCCAUGUCUCAGCAUGCAAAUAUGAUUAUAUGAAAAAAUAGUGGAAGCCAUUAAAACAGGUCAUAACAUAUAUCCACAAUUAUAUAUUUCUUUGAUUUCCAAACAAAAUAUGAUGUGCUCAAAUACUGGGAAAACACCAUGGUAGAAGAUCCUUGCUACCGGACAAUUCAUACGAAGGGAAUAGACUGGUUAAAUGGUGUUGGUUGCAAUCAAAAUGAGUGAGGUAAUAGCCUUCUCAUGUAGAGGUAGCACAGCGUAUGGGCUUUGAUCUUUUCUAUUUUUCUUUCUUUCAAUAAAUGAGACCAUGUUGAUUUGGCAUGAUAUUUUAAUGGGAAGUUCGAGAAGAAACUGUGGAAGACAAUUGCUUUAAGCCUCUUCUGAUUUUUUUUUUUUUUACAGGUAAAAAAUAUUAUAUUGAAUAAGAAAGAAAGUACACCUAAAGCAUACAGGAGAUAUACAACAAUCGACAUACAAAAAGCCUCUUUUGAUGUUUAUGGGGGACAAAGUUCAAAGUACUGGACUUGGUCAAGUCAUAUCUGCCUCGACUAGGUUCAAGAUGAUUCCGAUAACUGAGUUACGAUUCACAACAUUGAACACCAACUCCGUGUUAACUCACCUUGAAUUGUCUAACUCGGCUGAUUUUUUGGAACAAAAAAACUCAUUUGACUCAAACCAAGUUUCGGAUUCGACCACAAUGCCCCAAGCUAUGUCACAAAUCCCUCUUCUUCUUCAUCCAUAAAAUCACCCCUCUUGGUUGCCUGCUACUGCUAUUGUGGCAACUGAAAGUUUAGAAGCAACGAUGAUGUUCUUUCUUCCUCCAAUCAUCGACUUGAAAUAUUUUUGCUAUUGGUGACAUCUUGAACAGUGAUGUGGAUUUUUUGUUAGGGACUAUGUCUUAGUGGUGAUACUUCACAAACCUCGAAAGCUUGAGAACGAAGAAUCACCCUUACUUAGUAUUUAGAUUUUGGAAAGAAUGGGUAUUAGAUAUUUUUUAUUGGGUAUUUUUUUUACAUACCAAUAAUAUAUAUGGUAUUAUAUUAUAGUAUUAUCUGACAUUAUGGAUUUCUGAUUAUAUGUAUGAGCUGAAGAUGGGAUUUUAAAAAUAUAUAUGGAAGGUAAAUGAGGAUGUUUAUAUGGCUAUGGCAUAAAGGUAAAAACAUACAUAUUUAUACGAUUAUAAAUAUAAACAUUUGAUAAAUUAAUUGAUUUAUAAUUAAGUUUAUUAUACUUACAAAUUGAGAAAAAUAAUUAAAAAAUGAUAAAGUUCAUAUAAAAGAAUAUCAUUUAAUAUAGUUUAAUAAUUAAUGAAUAAAAAUAUAAUUAUUUUACCAUAUUGAUUAAUUAUUUUUAUUUUUGAAAUUUUUUGAGUUAGUAAAUUAACAUAUUUUGUGUAUCGUUCAAUACUGAUUUGAGUUACUGAGACUGAUGUGCCUCGAUAUUUUCCAAGUCAUGAUCGAUAUUGCAACUUUGAACCAUGAUGGGAGAAGCAGAAUCAAAAGGGUUUUUGAAAGGAUAGAACUAUUGCUUCUGAAGGAAAGCUUUCCAAUGACAGAACACCACCCAAACCCCUAUAUAAGAAACAAAACAAACAACUAAGGGAACGAUUCUAUUGGAACGAUGUCCCUACAUCAAAUAUCAUCCCAAAACCUCAUAUUGCACCCAUUCCCUAAAGAAAUACUAGAAGGAAUCCCAAGCUUUCCAAUCCCUUUUCAAAAGCACCAAACCAUAUGUUCCGUACUCCAUAGUUUUAAAAGAGCACAAGGAGCACCUAAGGCCUAAAAAUCCUUUAAGGCUUAGGUGCAAGCCACAACAAAAUGUGCAUGCCUAGUUGAAAUGAAACGCAACCUAAGGUGCAUGUCAAUUUCAUAAAAUAUGAUCCAAUAUUCAAUCAAAACAACAAAUUCAAGAUUCUAGGCAUUUAAAAGAAUCAUCCAACAAAAAAAACCUAAAGAAAGUAUAUAGAGUUUUAAUAUUCAUAUAGAAAUUUCAAGAAUAAGAAUUUUAUAAAAGAAAAAGAAAAUAGAUGAGGCAUGCCUCUCCAACAAGGUACAAGCCUUGGCAAGUAAGGCCCUAUAGCUAGGAAGCGGUUGUGCCUUGGGCCUAGGCGCACUAUUAAUAACUAUGUCAUACCCUCGGUGCACCACCCAUCCUCUACUUUCCCAAAUUUACCAAAGAUGACUCAGCUAUAGAAAACCAUUUCACUUAAUAGAAAGCCUUAUUUAAGAAAUAUUUUAUUUUCUAAUACCUAGUCCUUCCUUUGUCUUCUCACAAAGGAUGGUCAUCCACAUAACCAGGUGCAUCUUUCUCUCCUGGCAACCCCCAUACCAUAGAAAUUCUCCCUAAAUCUUCUCAAGACAAAUCCUUACUACUCUAUAAAUCACAAACCCUGACAUGAAAUAAAUAGGCAAGGUAUAAAGAGUGUUUGUAAUCGAAAUCAAUCUUCCUUCUUUAAAUACAUUUUUUUUUUUUUGAUAAAUGUGCGCAUAUAUAUAAACGAGGCAAAAAGCCACAAAGCAUAUUCCUUCUUUAAAUACAUAUUACCUUUUACAACAAACAAACCUCCCACAAAACCAUUGGUCAACUCAAUCUUGCACCACCCUCAACUUGAAUGGAGCACUCAACAACAAAACCAAAUAAUUAGAAGGCAAAUACCCAACCCUACCUAAAGCCAUGCAAUAUCUCUGACCAAGCUUGCAUUCUUUUCUUUUUUCUAUUUAGGGUUCAGGUGCUCCCUUUAUGUUUUCCAUACAAGGGUGUAGCCCCCCUCUUAUUAGGGCUUGUUUAAUAUAAUUUUUAUCUGCCUAUCAAAAAAGGGGGAAAAAGAAACAGAGAGAGAUUGUAAAUACCAGUCCACAUAGACAGAGGGUUGCUGAUUGAUUACACUAAAAUAUGUACUUACUCCCUCUUUAUCUAUAUAACCCUAUUAGAUUUUCUUCCCUACUAUCUAUUAUCUUCCCAGGAGGAAAUCCAUUAAUACUAGCAGAUUUAUUUUCUUUUAAGAGGAAACUGCAAUAUCUAUUCCAAAAAAUAGUUAACAUUAAAAGAGAUUAAUGUCACCAAAAGCAUAAACUGACACUACCUUGGAUGCCUCAGAUCAAAAAUCAGUAAAUUUCCCUUUUGAAUGGAUUUGAUGUAAAGCAUUAUAUAAGAAAUGAUAAACAGAAUAUCUUUGCUAGCCUAUCAAUUAAAAGAUAUCUUUGAUGGGGCAAAAUAUGUAGAGGAUAAUUGAUGGUCCAUUUCAAAUAUCUUGCCAUAGUUCAUUCCUACAUUUUGUAAUAAGGUUUCCCAAUCCAAAUAGCUCCACCAUUCCUAAAUUCAUAAUUCUCCUAAUCAUAAAAUAACAAAAUCUUGAAUCAAAACCAUCUAUGAAAAUUUUUCAGUAGAAAACAAAUUUAUUCUAAGAAAUUAAUUUAAAAGGUGAGAAAUCUCACUUUGCUGCUGAAGGCACUGAUCCCGCAGGUAUUCUCUUAAUAAUUAUACUUGAACCACUUGGAAUUUGAAAAUUUUCAUCAACGUAUUCUGCAUCCAAACCCAAAAGAAAAUUAACAAAAAAAACAUUAACAAAUAAUAACAACAACAACAACAACAAAGAAUGCAAAAGUUACUUAUAGAUUCAAGCGUAGCAUUAAUAGUCAUACUCAAAUCAUUUUAAGUACAAAAAAUUUUGUAAAUUGUAAUCCAAGCUUCCCUUGUCUGCUCAUGGGAUACAGAAAAGGAAAAAGGAAAGCAAAAUUUUGAAUCUUAGAUUUUUCAUCAUUUGGAACUUGAGAAAACAAGGCCUUCUCACUUUAUUGUGCCUAUCAACCAUUUGACUUCAUUGAAUUUGAGUUUUCUUUCAUUUUUUGGUCAACCAAAAUAAUGUAUAACUAAAUUAAAAAAACAAUUAAAUACACACACAAAAUAUGCAAAUAAUACACAUCAAUCAAUGGGAAAUUUUUUUUAUCAUACUAUAGGCUUUAGUAAAGAAAAUUCAAGAUUUUUUUUCUUUUAAUACUUAUCAAUAGUUACAACUGCUAGUAGCAUAUUUGAAAAUUAAAUGUUUUCUUGCCAUCACAAAUUCCUAUGCUAAAAUGAAGAGAAAACAGAACAAAACAACACCUUUGCAGGAGGUCUUGACCACCUGCAAAUCCAAUCCAUCCUUCAAUUUUCCCAGCCAUUACCAGUCCUGAGACAGAUGCUUUGUCCAUCCAACAAAGCCCACAGAUACUAGCGCUUGAGGCUUGGCUCAAGUGGUAGAGGGAUAAGGAGGGUUUGUGAGAGGUUCUAGGUUCAAGCCCCAAUGGGGACAAAAAUUUACCUAUAAAAAAAAAACUAAAAAAAAAGCCCAAAGCCCACAGAUACUAGUACACUGGAAAUCUAGUUAAAUUCAAUACAAAAAGGAGCUAGUUUUUCUUUUCCCCCUUCAAACAGAAAAUAAAUCAACACAGAGACAGCACGGCGACAUGAAACAGGUGGUCAAGACCUCCUGCAAAGAUGUUGUUUUGUUCUGUUUUUUCUUCAUUUUAGCAAAGGAAUUAGUGAUGGCAGAAAGUCCACAUAUACAAGUACACCUGAAAUCAAGUUAAAUUCAAUGCAAACAGAAGCUAGUUUUUCUUUUUUCCUCUUCAAACAGAAAAUAAAUCCACACAUGGACAGCAAGCCGACAAGAAAAACUAAUUAAAAAACAAGGAACGCAGAGAACACAGGGCCAUAUUUCUCUUCUUUUUCUUCUAACAUUCUUUUCCAACAGUCCCUUGGCAACCAACCAGAGCACAUAUUCAAUUAAAAACCAACCAAAUCACAAAAGAAAUAUGAAUUAGAGAUUAAAUCAGAUAACCUAGAGCUCAAAUCUUUCCUUUACCUUAUUUUCCCUUCUUUCUCUACGUUUUUUGACGAAACCAAAAAUUGAAACAAAAACGAAGCCAACACUUACCAUAUAGAACAGAUGAAACUCAAAGAUUCGAAAAAUGAACUCCAAUGAUUUCUCAAAACCAGCAAAAUCACAAACGGAAGAUGACUGAAAAUUAACUAUUCUAGGCAACACAGAGCUCGAAUCUUUCAUUUCUCAGCAAAAGCAUAUUUCAAGGGAGGAACAAUCAAAUUAGAAACCGAAAUCAAAU
rnacentral:lncRNA from 1 species